rnacentral:lncRNA from 1 species
GUAAGGAACUAACUAAGAAAAGACGAGUGAAUUCGAAGUAAAAAUAUAUAUAAAUAUGAUCCGAUCAACGCCCCGUACACAACCGAAUGAAGUAGUUAGCUCAUAGAUUACUCGGCAUGCGCGCCACCUAGGCUUGGUAGUUUUUAGGGUCAACAUUUUGGCACGGCCACUGGGACACAGUGCUAAAACUACGAAGUUCACAUGAUAUAUCUCGAUCAGGCUUCAUGGGAUGAAUUUCAUCGCCUAUUAAAGGAGCAAAAACAAUGUUUCAAGAGAUGGGGUCGAAUUUUUGAAAGGCAAUAGGCCGGGGGGCAAAUUUCCACUUCGGCCACAAUCAAAAUUCAGCCUCAGCACAUUGUCAAGAUGACCGAAGAAACACCUUGGCCACCUGUUGUUUUGGUCAAGACUGCAAGUUCGGCUGGCCUAGAAGAAAAAGUUCAAGUUUCUAAGCUAAAAAUUGACUUGGAAAAUGAUUCGUCAGAGGAGUGCUCUAAUGACGAACAAGGCCGAGACAUAGACCUAGCCGGAAAAACCACCCAAUCGAUAUGAUUAUUGGCGAUAAAGCCGAUAUAGAGAAAUCCCAUUCGGCUAAGUUGUUCGAGUUAAAAGCCAAAAUCGGCGAAAUUAUUAUGCCCCGGGGGCAUACUAAUUGUUCAACCCAUUCGAUGGCCGAUGUUAAAAAAUCUUUUGUCAAGCCCACAUAUUUGGAGAUGAUUUUUUAUUCGGCUCAAUGCAAAAUUUGAUUGGCUAUGUUGAUAUACAAAGAUCUCGGCUUGGAAUAAAACAUCGUUGGCCUCCUCCUCUUUAUUAGUUCAGCCACUUUUCUUUUAUUAAGAACAGGAAUAAAUUAUUUUCUUAAUGAUCUUGCUAAUUAAGCCGAUACUUAAGAAAAUAAAAGGGGUAACAAGAUGGGGUGGAUUUAUAAAUAAAAAAUAAAAAAAAUUUGGCUGCCUAGGCCAAAGCUGAGAGUUAGGUAAAUGCUAUGGUGGCCAUAUAGGUGUUGGCAGAUUCAAAGUCUUGUAUUGCCGAGCUCGACGAGGUUGGUUAGCCUU